AUUGAACGCUGGCGGCAUGCUUUACACAUGCAAGUCGAACGGUAGCAGGCCGCAAGGUGCUGACGAGUGGCGAACGGGUGAGUAAUGCAUCGGAACGCGCCCAGUCGUGGGGGAUAACUACUCGAAAGAGUAGCUAAUACCGCAUACGAUCUAUGGAUGAAAGCGGGGGACCGUAAGGCCUCGCGCGAUUGGAGCGGCCGAUGUCAGAUUAGGUAGUUGGUGGGGUAAAGGCUCACCAAGCCAACGAUCUGUAGCUGGUCUGAGAGGACGACCAGCCACACUGGGACUGAGACACGGCCCAGACUCCUACGGGAGGCAGCAGUGGGGAAUUUUGGACAAUGGGCGCAAGCCUGAUCCAGCAAUGCCGCGUGCAGGAAGAAGGCCUUCGGGUUGUAAACUGCUUUUGUACGGAACGAAACGGCUCUGGUUAAUACCCGGGGCUAAUGACGGUACCGUAAGAAUAAGCACCGGCUAACUACGUG
rnacentral:rRNA from 1 species